rnacentral:rRNA from 1 species
AAUUGAAGAGUCUGAUCAUGGCUCAGAUUGAACGUUGGCGGCAGGUCUCAUACAUGCAAGUCGAACGAAGAUACGACUUUGGUCGUUGACAAGUGGCGGACGGGUGAGUAACGCGUAGGAAUCUACCUAGUAGUGGGGAACAACUUGGGGAAACCCGAGUUAAUACCGCAUACGACCUAAGGGUGAAAGCGGGGGAUUUUCGAACCUCGCGCUAUUAGAGGAGCCUGCGUUGGAUUAGCUUGUUGGUGGGGUAACGGCCUACCAAGGCGACGAUCCAUAGCUGGUCUGAGAGGAUGAUCAGCCACACUGGAACUG